GGAAGGAAGGAAGGAGGAAAGAAAGAGAGAAAGGAGGGAGGGAGGAAGGAAAGGGGAGGGAGGAAGGAAGAGGAGACAAUCUCAGGACUGCACCCUUACUUCCAUGGCCAGAUGGGAAGAGCACACCUC